GAUGAACGCUGGCGGCGUGCCUAAUACAUGCAAGUAGAACGCUGAAGCUUGGUGCUUGCACCGAGCGGAUGAGUUGCGAACGGGUGAGUAACGCGUAGGUAACCUGCCUCUUAGCGGGGGAUAACUAUUGGAAACGAUAGCUAAUACCGCAUAAAAGUCGACAUUGCAUGAUGUUGACUUGAAAGGUGCAAUUGCAUCACUAAGAGAUGGACCUGCGUUGUAUUAGCUAGUUGGUGAGGUAACGACUCACCAAGGCGACGAUACAUAGCCGACCUGAGAGGGUGAUCGGCCACACUGGGACUGAGACACGGCCCAGACUCCUACGGGAGGCAGCAGUAGGGAAUCUUCGGCAAUGGGGGCAACCCUGACCGAGCAACGCCGCGUGAGUGAAGAAGGUUUUCGGAUCGUAAAGCUCUGUUGUAAGAGAAGAACGAGUGUGAGAGUGGAAAGUUCACACUGUGACGGUAACUUACCAGAAAGGGACGGCUAACUACGUGCCAGCAGCCGCGGUAAUACGUAGGUCCCGAGCGUUAUCCGGAUUUAUUGGGCGUAAAGCGAGCGCAGGCGGUUAGAUAAGUCUGAAGUUAAAGGCUGUGGCUUAACCAUAGUACGCUUUGGAAACUGUUUAACUUGAGUGCAGAAGGGGAGAGUGGAAUUCCAUGUGUAGCGGUGAAAUGCGUAGAUAUAUGGAGGAACACCGGUGGCGAAAGCGGCUCUCUGGUCUGUAACUGACGCUGAGGCUCGAAAGCGUGGGGAGCAAACAGG
rnacentral:rRNA from 1 species